CGAACGCCGGACAUCGGAACUGCUGCUGUUUGUCGUGAAGUGUGGGGACCGGAUGAACCGGCAAAUGCCGGUAAAGAUGUACCGACAAAUGCUAAUGCCAUGAAUGUAUUUGAAGCCCAUUUAUGUGGCUUAGGAAUAUUUGGUUACAUGGAGUGAGUAUGUAGCUGGUACAGACUAGGAUUCAAAUCACCUGAGGAGAUUAUUAGAAUUUAAUAUGUUACAAAAAAAAGUAUUAAUAUUAUGUACUUACGGAUUUUGCACACGAGAGAAAUCGUGUGAUUCAAUUAGGAUUAGUGUACGCAUGUGACUUUCUUCACUUAGUGCUCGUGUACUUUAAAAGUUACUCGGAUAUGGUUAUAGUUGGUAAGUUUGUUAUCAUGUAAAUAAAAAAAAAUCAAAUAAGCAACCGAAAAUUUGAG